rnacentral:tRNA from 1 species
CCGGCCGCGAGCCUUGGCACGGUAGAGCGCGUUGUCGGCGCGCCGGAGGAGAUCGGCGAGGUCGCGGCCGAGUUCGGUGCUCGACAGCCCGA